UACGUAGGGUGCGAGCGUUAAUCGGAAUUACUGGGCGUAAAGCGUGCGCAGGCGGUUUUGUAAGCCAGAUGUGUAAUCCCCGGGCUUAACCUGGGAAUGGCAUUUGGGACUGCAAGGCUGGAGUGUGGCAGAGGAGACUGGAAUUCCCGGUGUAGCAGUGAAAUGCGUAGAUAUCGGGAGGAAUACCGAUGGCGAAGGCAGGUCUCUGGGCUGACACUGACGCUCAUGCACGAAAGCGUGGGGAGCAAACAGG
rnacentral:rRNA from 1 species